ACCUGGGAUAAACUUGGUUGGAUUUUUGGAACAGGGAGAUGGAAUAGGAGCUUGCUCCUUCCACUCCACGUAUCGACCUGGUAUUGCAGUACUUC